rnacentral:sRNA from 1 species
GGUUGUUGCGUAUCCAUAAACGGGCUUUGCAGCAACCGUUGUUUUUAAUAGACCUUUAAUUAGGAGAUCGAUAGUGGCCCGUAUAGCUGGCAUUAAUGUGCCUGA